rnacentral:rRNA from 1 species
GAUGAACGCUGGCGGCGUGCCUAAUACAUGCAAGUCGAGCGAACGGACGAGAAGCUUGCUUCUCUGAUGUUAGCGGCGGACGGGUGAGUAACACGUGGAUAACCUACCUAUAAGACUGGGAUAACUUCGGGAAACCGGAGCUAAUACCGGAUAAUAUUUUGAACCGCAUGGUUCAAAAGUGAAAGACGGUCUUGCUGUCACUUAUAGAUGGAUCCGCGCUGCAUUAGCUAGUUGGUAAGGUAACGGCUUACCAAGGCAACGAUGCAUAGCCGACCUGAGAGGGUGAUCGGCCACACUGGGACUGAGACACGGCCCAGACUCCUACGGGAGGCAGCAGUGGGGAAUUUUGGACAAUGGGCGAAAGCCUGACGGAGCAACGCCGCGUGAGUGAUGAAGGUCUUCGGAUCGUAAAACUCUGUUAUUAGGGAAGAACAUAUGUGUAAGUAACUGUGCACAUCUUGACGGUACCUAAUCAGAAAGCCACGGCUAACUACGUG